rnacentral:lncRNA from 1 species
CCUCCGUGGGCAUAACCGCAGUAUAUAAAUGAUGCUGAAGACAGGCAAAAGCUCUGACAAGACUUUGAUCCUUCUUCAAGGCCUGGGAAUAACCUCAGGCAGCCAGGACCUGCUCUGCCUGUGGGGCUCACAGAUUGCAUGAAGUGCAAGGAUGAGCUGAAAGUGUGGCUCUGAAGCAGCAACUGAUGGGACAACUCUGAGGUCAUCU